rnacentral:rRNA from 1 species
AGCGAACGCUGGCGGCAGGCUUAACACAUGCAAGUCGAGCGGGCGUAGCAAUACGUCAGCGGCAGACGGGUGAGUAACGCGUGGGAACAUACCUUUUGGUUCGGAACAACACAGGGAAACUUGUGCUAAUACCGGAUAAGCCCUUACGGGGAAAGAUUUAUCGCCGAAAGAUUGGCCCGCGUCUGAUUAGCUAGUUGGUGUGGUAACGGCGCACCAAGGCGACGAUCAGUAGCUGGUCUGAGAGGAUGAUCAGCCACAUUGGGACUGAGACACGGCCCAAACUCCUACGGGAGGCAGCAGUGGGGAAUAUUGGACAAUGGGCGCAAGCCUGAUCCAGCCAUGCCGCGUGAGUGAUGAGGGCCCUAGGGUUGUAAAGCUCUUUUGUGCGGGAAGAUAAUGACGGUACCGCAAGAAUAAGCCCCCGGCUAACUUCGUGCCAGCCGCCGCGGU